AGAAAAGGAAAUUAGGAAGAAUAUAUUCUUGGUCUUGUUUUUUUUUAAAUUGGACUAAUUACUAAGUGGUCCAAUUGAUUUUUAAUCCACCAGCCCAAAUACACUUGAACCCAUCAGCCCAAAACCCAUACCCUUUUAAUUAAAACCUAAACUUAGACCUGUAAAAGAUAAUAUAAUUAAGGAGACCUAGGACCCCUACAGAACAAAACGGCGCUGAGACCCCCCCUCCUAAUUUUUGGACCUUGAGCGCCGCUGCUCAUCUUCUUCUUCUUGACAUAAACAUACACACUCACAAAAAUGUACAAGAAUGAGAGGAAAAGAACGAGAAAAUAGGGGAAGGGAAAAACAGGGCUCUCAUCACUCACUCACCCCGAUUUUUUAGAAGAAAAACGGCAGCCACUUCUGGUCUUCAUUUCUCAAACAGUCGAGGUUGUCUUCGAGUUUUCCGGCGUCGAUUUCGAUAUAUGUUCGCAUCAAAUAAUUGCUGCUAUAAAAGUUUUGCUAAAGGAUCAUUCUAAUGGGGAAAGCUAUUUUGAAGAAUGAAUUCGCGAUUUGCCGCUGCUGUUACUCCCCGGUUGCUGCUGAUUCACUUCCCUUUCGAGCUCUUUUAUCACUGUUUCUCUCUAUUCUGUUUCCACAUCAAGGUACUCUUCUCAAUUCUGGUCAUGUAACUUGAUUUGGGAUGACUCACGUUCUAUGAAAAUAAUUUCAUGAAGCUACAUAUUCUUCUCUGUUAAGCGAGUGAAUCUGAGGUGUGUUUAUUAUUAUCAAAUGGUUGUGAAUCUGAUGUAAAAUGCCUAGGUUUUGCUGUUGUUUUCUUGCUAUAAAUCUGUUAAAACAGAACGUACAUUAGCUGGUGCUUUUCAGUAGAAAGACCUUGGCUCAUGUAUGAAGUGUACCUUGGCUGUAAUUUUAACCAAAGCUUUCCCCCUUCACUCUUUCCAUUGCCCUGUAGCUUUGUUUUAGCUUAAAAGUGGCUAUUUAAGUUCUGCUCCAACUUAAUUUUAAAUUCAUAGAUAAAGAAAAUGGCCAUUUGAUGGGAAUUUUCGUGUGGAUUAUGAGUUGCAAAGGUUCCUUCUCGGUGCCCUGAGCUUGCUUUUAUAUCCCAAUUCGAUUACUUACUAAAGAAGGGCGAUAAAGUUACAGAAGAAGAAGUGGAUUAUAGCACUCUAAUGAUAUAGCCUAUGAGUUGUUAAUUUGAUAAAUAUGGCAUCUGAUGCCUCUAUAUGCAUGUGGGAUUGUAUGCUCCAAGUAUUUUAACCGCAAUUAUUAUGUGGACAUACAGUUCCUAUACGAGAGACAAAGCAUGAUUGACACUCGGAUAUGAUCGUUAUUGUGACCAGAGAGUUGGGAGAAUUACAAUAAUCCCAAAAUUAGUUUAUGAAAAAUAAUUCUUAAUCCGUGGCUUGUUUUAGGCAUUCAAUUAAAUUAUGACAACUACGGGUACGGUUCCCGUGAUGUGAUUGUGAUAACUAGUUUUAAAUUAGACUAAAAAUAGGAGCACCUUUAAUUUGCCCUUAAAAUAUAUAACCAUUUUCUUAAAAUAAUUUGAGGCGUGCCUUGCCGUGCCAAAUAAAACCCUUAAGCCCAUGACCCUCAUAAAACUAGUUAGCUCUUAUAGAAAAUUUGAGAUAUGCCAUUUUCCAUUAAAUAGCCCAUGGCCCUCAGGGAAUUACUUCAAAACCUUGUAAAAAUUGAGGCGUGCCAUUAAUUAAACUCUCCAUGGUCCUCGUUAAUGUUGUUAUUAAUUUGAACAUUUGUAAUUGUUUUAGGCGCGUUAUUUAAAUAAUUCAUCAUAGCUAUGGGUACGGUUUCCGUGACGUUGUUGUGAUUUUUAAUUACUAAAUCCGGGUGUGCAUUUCAUGUGACCCAAUUUCAAUUUCUCAACCAUGUUAAAUAGAACGUGUUGCGAACCGCGAGUGCAUUUCAUGUAGCGUGGUUUAAGACGUGUUUUAAAUAACAUUGAAUCUUCCUAAAAGCGAUUUUAAAAUAAUUAAAAGCGGCGUUAAGCUAAAAUGCACGUAGGUUUAAAAUGUGUAAUAAAUUGGAUAAUAUGCCAAUUUUAAUAGUUUAAGCGACCGUGCUAGAACCAUGGAACCCGGGAAUGCCUAACACCUUCUCCCGGGAUAACAAAAUUUCUUAUCUAGAAUUUCUGGUUUCGCAGACUUUUAAAUAAAAUCGAUUUUCCUCGAUUUGGGAUUUUAAAAUACACCGGUGACUUGGAACACCGAAUAAAUUAUCCCAAGUGGUGACUCUGAAAAAUAAAUAAAUAAUCUCAUUUCGAAUAAUAUCACUUAAAUUGGAAAAACUCCCUCAUAUACCCUCGGAUGUGUAAGAAGGGUGUGUAAGAAGGAGGCGUGACACUUCUAGAAACAGAAAUAGGGCUGCAUUGGAAAUUCUGAGUUGUUACCGGAAAAACAACAAUUUCGUCCGAGCAGAGUUCACAUCUAAAUUUGUGGUGAAGUACUAGAGAAUCUGUUUCUAAUGAGCUCCAAUUGAUAAAUAUAAGUUAUAGUUAACACAAAGUUAGACAAACAGUACUGGCUGCCCAGAAUAAGGCACAUAAGAACCACGACUCCUUGAAGCUUGUGGGAUGCCUGAAGCGCCGACUGAAAUGGCCUGGUGGAUGGCCUAGGAAAUUCAACCAGUAAUAGUACAACUGACGUUACUUUAGGUACAACUAAUACCUGCAGGGUUCGCACCCCCUUGUUCACUAGUAACUAUAUCAAAGCAAAAUGAUGACAAGCAUGUUCAAGCAACCUCUUGUCAAGUAAUACAAAGUAUAUAUAUAUGUAUCAUUCAAUAAAUAGAAUUCAAAACACAAAGAUAUUCCUAAUGAAAAUUGAUCAAGCAGAUUGCGUCCAAGACUUGCAUCCGACAUUUCGUUUCGUUGUUUCACCUAUUUCGAACCUCUUCCUCUAUCAGCCGUCCGGCAAUAGUUUUCUUAAAUUCCUUAGACUUGUUAAUAUACUUUAUUUGAAAAAAUAAAGAAGAUUAAAUAACCAUAAAUGUAAUGAAAUAAUUUGAGUCCACAGAAUUCACUGUGUGUCCUUAAGAAAUUUAAUCCCCUCAUAGUAUCCAAGAUAAAAGAUUAUUUCUUUACAAGAUAGAAUGAGUAUCUUAUUGGAGUAGUGAUACUAUGAAUUAUAGAACUUCGGUAAACUCUAAGAAUUUAAAUUUGUAUUGAAAAAAAAAAAUAGGGGAGAAAUUUUAGAAUUUUCAGCCUUUUAUAAAUAAGGUCAAGCCUCUAAAUUUAUAUGCAAUGGAUGAGUGAGAUGAAGAGGUACCAUCUAAAAUAUGUCUUUUCUCAUUCAAAUCUUAAAAACCGAACAUUCUGAUAUGUAUAUUAACUCUAUCUAUAUUUACUUUCCGCAUAUACAUAUAGGAUUUGCUCAAAACGCAUCGUGAACACAUUGUUUAAUACAAGUUGAUUGGAUUUUAUGUACAUUUUGUCUUUACCUUUAAACUAUAAACAAAAGGUCAUAUGUGACAAAUUCGUAUUUGAUACUAUUAAAUUAAAGCUAAGAAUGCAUGAACCAUUUCUUUCAUAGUAUUGCAGUUAAAAUCAUAGUAACUGACAAGAAAACAAAGCAGCCAUUGAGAUUAGAUGAAGAGUCAGCUCAGCAUUGUCUACUCUAAAGAAGAUGAACGGAAAGUUAGCAUAUUUUAAUUUAUUUACUAUCUGCUUUAUGCAUACUGUGAUUUGAAGGUGUGUAAUUACAUUUAGAUCUGAUUUUGUAUUAACCAGUUUCGAAUUAAGUGAAGCUAUAUCAAAAGAUUCAUAUUUCUGCGAU
rnacentral:lncRNA from 1 species